rnacentral:rRNA from 1 species
AUUGAACGCUGGCGGCAGGCCUAACACAUGCAAGUCGAACGAGUGGCGUACGGGUGAGUAAUGUCUGGGCAACUGCCUGCUGGAGGGGGAUCACUCCUGGACACGGUAGCUAAUACCGCAUACCAUCAUAUGUUCCCAGAGGGGAUUAGCUAGUUGGUGGGGUAACGGCUCACCAAGGCGCCGAUCCCUAGCUGGUCUGAGAGGAUGCAGAGCCAAACUGGAACGGAGACACGGUCCAGACUCAUACGGGAGGCAGCAGUGGGGAAUAUUGCACAAUGGGCGCAAGCCUGAUGCAGCCAUGCCGCGUGUAGGAAGAAGGCCUUCGGGUUGUAAAGUACUUUCAGCGGGGAGGCGUUACCCGCAGAAGAAGCACCGGCUAACUCCGUGCCAGCAGCCGCGGUAAUAC